GCCUGGUUGGCUCAGGUGGUAGAGCAUGUGACUCUUGAUCUCAGAGUUGUGAGUUUGAGCCCCACAUUAGGCA
rfam:Canis lupus familiaris chromosome 1, whole genome shotgun sequence.